GACGAACGCUGGCGGCGCGCCUAACACAUGCAAGUCGAACGAGCGAGCGAGAGCUUUCUUUCUUGAGCGAUUGGCGAACGGGUGAGUAACGCGUGAGGAACCUGCCCCUAAGAGGCGGACAACAGUUGGAAACGACUGCUAAUACCCCAUAAGCUCUCGGUGCCGCCUGGCACAGAUGGAAAAAGAGCAAUAUGCUUUGAGAUGGCCGCGCAUCCGAUUAGCUAGUUGGUGAGGUAACGGCCCCCCAAGGCGACGACCGGUAUACGGACAGAGAGGUAGAGCGGCGACACUGGGACGGAGACGCGGCCGGGACUCCUACGGGAGGGACGAGAGGGGGAUAUAGCAACACCGGGGAAACGAUGAUGCAGCGAGGCCGCGUGAAGGAAGAAGGUAUUCGGAUUGUAAUGUCCUGUUGUUGGGGCAGAUAAUGACGGUACCCAACAAGGAAGUGACGGCUAACUACGUG
rnacentral:rRNA from 1 species